UCUCCACUUUCUGGUUUCAUAGCAGAACCCGUUACUUGUUCCUCAAGAAGUUUGGGGAGCCAUGCUUACAAUCUGACAUAUUGGUAUACAACAGAGAGGACUUAGAAUGAUACAUUGGUGAAGUCCAGUAAUUCAAGUGUUUGGCUAACAAUCAUCAAGGCCACAAAAACCCAGCCUCUGCUCUUGGCAGUAUCAGGAACUUCAUGGAAUACAUCACUUUCAAAUUGCAGCUGCAAAUGGUCUUGUUAAAGGUAUCAUCAGACAAACUUAAAGAUGAUCUGACAAUGUCAUUUUCCAAGGGACUGAUAGAAAGAUUGAGUAUCAUGGAAUCAGAGCAGACAACAGAGAAUCAGAUUUGGACUGAAUCAGAAUAAACAGGCAAUGCAGACACUCGUUCUCUGAAUCACAAUCAAGACUCAGUGCUGGAACAGAUUUGAGGAAUUUAUACAAUUCUUAUCUAAACUAAUGUCUGGUAUUUAACCAGGUUAAAGUUUUUUCUUUUAUUUUAAUGUGAGAAAAAAUUAAUAAAUAAUAUAUUUUCCAUUCACUA